rnacentral:misc_RNA from 1 species
GAUGAAGAACGCAGCGAAAUGCGAUAAGUAGUGUGAAUUGCAGAUUUCAGUGAAUCAUCGAAUCUUUGAACGCACAUUGCGCCCUUUGGUAUUCCGAAGGGCAUGCCUGUCUGAGCGUCAAUAAAUCAAUCAAACUUUAGUUUGGUAUUGGGAGAAGUGGUUAUGCCUCUCUCCUUUAAGCUAUUGGCGACACUAUUUCAGCUUGUAAGACGUAGUAAGCAAUUUCUCGUUAAAGCAACUGUAUAGGCGUCUGCCAACUGAACGAUUUAUUUUUUAAGCUUGACCUCAGAUCAGGUAGGGAUACCCCCUGAACUUAAGCAUAUCAAUAAGCGGAGGA